GAUGAACGCUAGCGGCAGGCUUAAUACAUGCAAGUCGUGGGGCAGCAGCUUUAUAGCAAUAUAGAGGCUGGCGACCGGCAAACGGGUGCGGAACACGUACUGAACCUUCCUUCAAGUGGGGAAUAGCCCAGAGAAAUUUGGAUUAAUACCCCGUAACAUAUAGAAGUGGCAUCACUUUUAUAUCAAAGCUCCGGCGCUUAAAGAUGGCAGUGCGGCUGAUUAGGUAGUUGGCGGGGUAACGGCCCACCAAGCCUACGAUCAGUAACUGGUGUGAGAGCACGACCAGUCACACGGGCACUGAGACACGGGCCCGACUCCUACGGGAGGCAGCAGUAAGGAAUAUUGGUCAAUGGACGGAAGUCUGAACCAGCCAUGCCGCGUGGAGGAUGAAGGUCCUCUGGAUUGUAAACUUCUUUUAUCUGGGACGAAAAAGGGCUUUUCUAAGUCAACUGACGGUACCAGAUGAAUAAGCACCGGCUAACUCCGUGCCAGCAGCCGCGGUAAGAC
rnacentral:rRNA from 1 species